rnacentral:rRNA from 1 species
UACGUAGGGGGCAAGCGUUGUCCGGAUUUAUUGGGCGUAAAGAGCGUGUAGGCGGCCAUACAGGUCAGCUGUGAAAACUCGAGGCUCAACCUCGAGACGUCGGUUGAAACCGUAUGGCUAGAGUCCGGAAGAGGAGAGUGGAAUUCCCGGUGUAGCGGUGAAAUGCGUAGAUAUCGAGAGGAACACCAGUGGCGAAGGCGAGUCCCUGGACAGGUCCUGACGCUGAGGCACGAAAGCUAGGGGAGCAAACAGG